AAUUGUAAUGGACUGUCUUAUCGUUUAAUAGAGCCAUCACCAUUCAUUUCCAACUCGCCCCGGAACUAUCCCCGACUGGAUCUGUUCCUCUCUUCGCCCUUCCAGUGUCCUCUCUCUCGCCGAACUAUCACUGUUGAAUUUGUGUUGGUUUCGGUGAGUUGGGUAUAUAUUCCAGUUUGAUGAAGCUUAAAUCAUCAGAAAUAGGAAAAUCUUUAUGGUUACACUUUCGAUUGUUGUUUGAUGGCUAGCUAAUUUUCUCACUAAUCAAUGUCUUGUGGAAAGUUUUAUGAAAGAAUCAGAUUAUUUUCUUUGCCGUUAAAGUCCAUGUGCUUCUCUCUAUGUAGUUAGUUCAUAUAUCAAUGGAUAAUUGGUUGUUUUUCUUGUUUCUGGAUCCAGAUAUGAGAUUACUCUUAGAGGUAAGUGUGUCAUUCUACUUUUUUUCUCGGCUUUGAGAGUUCAUCAGAUGUAUGUGUCUGUCUUACAAUGUUAAUCCCUUGCCUUCUUAUUGUGCUAUUUUAUUUCUUUUUAAUUGCCUAGUGCUGUUCACGGCAUUGCUUCUCCUCCAGUAUGAGUGUCUCCGGUGCUGCAGUUGGUUCAGGAAUCAUUGAAUAGACCGCGCUGUAAAGCCAUCCACUUAAUUGAGAUUGAUACAAGUGUUGAUUGUGAUACAUUUAUUCCCCUUGUUGACACUUCUGCAUAUCAACCUUGGUGUCUUAAAAAACGAUAGGACAGGGACUGGCACAUUAUCUAAAUUCGGCUCUGAGGAAUUUUCCACUUCUGACGACUAAGGUGCUUCUAUAUGGAGGACAAGUGGUUUCUUGGAGAAAUUAAAGGAGAGAGCAGUUGCUUUAUAUGAGCACCAAGGCGCAACUAAAACCACCCAAGGCCAUCAGGAGAGGUUUACCUGUCUGCUUUCCACAACUAUGUUUCAAAAGCACAAAUCUAGCUGAGAUUCAAGACUGCUGCAGGGAAGGAUAGCGUGUUCAUCUACUUUUUUUUAUUAUUAUGUUUUUUUAGGAGUAUCACUACAGUUUUUAAGAGUAUUCUUAUUUUUUCA